UGUAGAAAGCCCGCGCGCCGAGAGGGAGCAGAGAGCACACAGCUCCCUCGCCGUGUCUGAUUGUCAGAGUAUUUAUAUCGGCAGACAUUUUGUGCUAUGAUAGAAAUUAAAAGUGUAUAUUCUGAGUCACUCUGAACAGACCAGACUCCAUUUUGUUAUUUUCAAGUUAACAAAAAGACACAAGAUUUCUAUCUGUAAAACUAACCACUUUGCCAGAGCUAAAGGAAUGC